rnacentral:rRNA from 1 species
GACGAACGCUGGCGGCGUGCUUAACACAUGCAAGUCGAACGGAAAGGCCCUGCUUUUGUGGGGUGCUCGAGUGGCGAACGGGUGAGUAACACGUGAGUAACCUGCCCUUGACUUUGGGAUAACUUCAGGAAACUGGGGCUAAUACCGGAUAGGAGCUCCUGCUGCAUGGUGGGGGUUGGAAAGUUUCGGCGGUUGGGGAUGGACUCGCGGCUUAUCAGCUUGUUGGUGGGGUAGUGGCUUACCAAGGCUUUGACGGGUAGCCGGCCUGAGAGGGUGACCGGCCACAUUGGGACUGAGAUACGGCCCAGACUCCUACGGGAGGCAGCAGUGGGGAAUAUUGCACAAUGGGCGGAAGCCUGAUGCAGCAACGCCGCGUGCGGGAUGACGGCCUUCGGGUUGUAAACCGCUUUCGCCUGUGACGAAGCGUGAGUGACGGUAAUGGGUAAAGAAGCACCGGCUAACUACGUGCCAGCAGCCGCGGUGAUACGUAGGGUGCGAGCGUUGUCCGGAUUUAUUGGGCGUAAAGGGCUCGUAGGUGGUUGAUCGCGUCGGAAGUGUAAUCUUGGGGCUUAACCCUGAGCGUGCUUUCGAUACGGGUUGACUUGAGGAAGGUAGGGGAGAAUGGAAUUCCUGGUGGAGCGGUGGAAUGCGCAGAUAUCAGGAGGAACACCAGUGGCGAAGGCGGUUCUCUGGGCCUUUCCUGACGCUGAGGAGCGAAAGCGUGGGGAGCGAACAGGCUUAGAUACCCUGGUAGUCCACGCUGUAAACGGUGGGUACUAGGUGUGGGGUCCAUUCCACGGGUUCCGUGCCGUAGCUAACGCUUUAAGUACCCCGCCUGGGGAGUACGGCCGCAAGGCUAAAACUCAAAGGAAUUGACGGGGCCCCGCACAAGCGGCGGAGCAUGCGGAUUAAUUCGAUGCAACGCGUAGAACCUUACCUGGGUUUGACAUGGAUCGGGAGUGCUCAGAGAUGGGUGUGCCUCUUUUGGGGUCGGUUCACAGGUGGUGCAUGGCUGUCGUCAGCUCGUGUCGUGAGAUGUUGGGUUAAGUCCCGCAACGAGCGCAACCCUUGUUCACUGUUGCCAGCACGUUAUGGUGGGGACUCAGUGGAGACCGCCGGGGUCAGCUCGGAGGAAGGUGGGGAUGACGUCAAGUCAUCAUGCCCCUUAUGUCCAGGGCUUCACGCAUGCUACAAUGGCUGGUACAGAGAGUGGCGAGCCUGUGAGGGUGAGCGAAUCUCGGAAAGCCGGUCUCAGUUCGGAUUGGGGUCCGCAACUCGACCUCAUGAAGUCGGAGUCGCUAGUAAUCGCAGAUCAGCAACGCUGCGGUGAAUACGUUCCCGGG